UUACCAGAAUAAUAACCUGUGAAAUUGCAAAGGAGGCCUAGGACAGGUUGCAAGAGGAGUUCAGAGGCAAUGCAAGAACAAGACAAAUGCAAGUCUUGAACUUGAGAAGAAAAUAUAAGGGCCUGAAGAUGAAGGAUUCUGAAUCUGUCAAAGAUUAUGCUGAUAGGUUGAUUAAGGUAGUGAACAAGAUAAGGCUUUUGGGAGAUGAUUUACCUGAUAGAAGGGUCAUUGAAAAGGUGCUGAUUAGCUUACCAGAAAAGUUUGAAGCUAAAAUCUCAACUCUUGAAGACUCUAGAUCUAUCAUCCAUCACCUUAUCUGAGCUGGUUAAUGCCUUGCAAACCACUGAGCAAAGGAGGUUAAUGAGGCAAGAAGACCAAGUAGAAGGUGCCUUGUUUGUUAAAGGAAAGCAUAAGGCACAGACUAGCUUUAGGCCAAGGAAAAAUCAGCAAGACAAGAGAAGAUUCGAAGGCAGCAAGGGUGCUGAUAAAAACUCUGCUAAUCCUCCAUGUCCACAUUAUCAAAAGAUUGUACAUUCUCCAAAUUGGUGCUGGUUCAAACCAGGGGCGCAAUGCAAGUCAUGUAAGGAGUUUGGACAUGUUCAAAGGGUUUGUAGAAAUAAGAAAGGGAAGCAGAUUGAGCAGCAAGCUAAAAUUGUUGAAAGUCAGCAACUAGAUCAGCUGGAAGAGCAUCUCUUUGCUGUUGCAAACUACAAAAUGCCUAGCAAUAUUGGAGGCUGGUUACUGGAUAGUGGAUGCACCCAUCACAUAACUUCGGACCUCAGCAUCUUUGUUGAAUUGAGUGACAACUACAGAUCAAGAGUUAAAGUUGGCAAUGGA
rnacentral:lncRNA from 1 species